AUUUAAGAUAAUACCAAAAAAAUAAUGAGUUAAAUGAAAGGGUCCAAACAACUUUUAUAAGUAGAUUUUUUUAGACUCCUUCCCUUUUAAUAGUAUUGAUGUCAUUAUAUGAACCUAAAUAUUUUAAUGCUUGUCUUUCUUAGUUAAAUUAAUAAUUUUUUCUUAAUCAAAUUUAAACUUAAUGUCAUUAAAUGAAACCUAAAAAUACAUCAUAUUUAACGUAGCUUAUUACGGAUAAGUACGGUCCAAUAAUGAACUUAAAUUUUAUUUUUACGAAAACGUGAAUCAGUUGACGUAUGUAAUAUUUAAAAUAUAUUAACUACAAUAUAACAAAUGCAUAUAACAAAUGCAUAUACUUUAGUUUGAAAUGAUCAUCUCAAGUUUUAUAUAGUCAACUUACAUUAUGCAUUGAUCGAUGUACAAUAUUCAAACCACCUAUAGUUUUCGUUUUCCUUAUAGGAUGUAUCAACCAACCAAUCAUCUUAUUGAUUUUUUAAGCUUUAUAAAAAAAACAAAUCAAUAAAUACAAACUCAAAAUUCAAUAUCUUCUAUUAAUCAAAACAUAAUAUCUUCAAUGUUGUAUUUUUAUUGUACUUAUUAAAUAUAGAAACUGUAACCAUAAUUACACUAAUUAUAAGAAUAGAUUUGAUUACAACCAAUUGAUCUAUUACUUCGGUAAUUGAUUUGCUUGAAGAAGAGGAAACAAUAAAUUUAAAAUUUGUAAGAAUAUAAAGAUAUAGAGAUUCCAACCAAUUGCCUAUAUUUGCGUAUUAUUUUCGCAUAAUAAGCUUCAAAUUGAACAUUGAAAAAAUUAGAGAGAUUUUUUUAAUCUUUUACUGACACAGAACUUAAACAAAAUGAAGAGUUAAAUAUAAUUUUUUUGUUACACUUCCCGAAAAAAAACGGUUACAACAUGAGCUUUCAUAAUAUGGCCUUUUAACAUAUUAAUGUUAUGGAUAUUUAAUAAUUAUCUUGACAAAAAACAGAGACUACAAAUAAUUUAUUAUUAAUAUAAUUAUGAAAUUAUUUACAAUUUGAUGACUAAUUCAUCGCCUAUUUUUAUAUGUUAAAUUUUUCAUAUAAGUUUAAAAAUUAUUGUAUUUUUUUUAAACAUGUAUAACUAAUUUAUAAUCUUUUAUGCUAUACUAAGUCAUAAUAUAAUAUUUCUUCAUAUUUUACAUUAAUAAUCAUUGUUUUUAUAUAUCGUCUACAAUUUUCUAAUUACGUCUGUUUGUUCUAUUUUUUAUAUGAUAUCAAAUAUUCGUCAUAAAUAGAUAGUUUAAGAUGCCAAAAAAUUAUUUACUUGAUGAAUAUAAUACAUCAAAUAUUACAAAUACAUCAUUUAGUUAAAUAAAUAACCAAAAACCGAAAAUUCAUAUCCGUUUAACUAAAAGGGUUAGACUGGUGGGUCAGGGUCUAGUGUAACUUAUAACCCCCGUAUAAUUAAUUAAAGGGGUUAGACUGGUGGGUCUACGUUUGCAUCAAUCAUUUGAAAGUGGGCCAAAUGGCAACCAUUCUCUCUCUCUCUGUUUGCUCUACCAUCUCACUAGAAACCUCUUAGAACUGAAAAUCAUUUUCGGUGACCAGUGGUUUUAUCGCCGCCGGUUACCAAUCUCUUUUUGUUUUUUUUUUGAUGUAAAAUAGUUACUCGAUCUAUAGAUCGACUUGUUUGCUUCGCUUUGGCGAAUUUACAUUUCUCUUUUCACGUUUGGUGAGCUUUUGAGAGAUUGUUGGAGUCUCAACUUGGAGCGACGGUUAUGGUGGAAGGGUAAGCUUAGAAAGUACAAUUCAUGGCAACAAUCGACGUGUUUGAACAAGAGAAAGAAAGCUCCGCCGGUGAGAAGACGUCGGAAUACAUCGGAAACAUGAAGUAUGCCGGAGAAACUGGAACUUUCAAGCAGAGCCGUGCUUACAGCCUAUUAAAAAAGGCAUUCGCCUAGGCAGGGCCCCCAAAUUUUGUAAGAGAGCACUAUUCGCCUCGGGCCACUAUAUAGAUUUAUCUCGCAACAAAAAAUGAGCGGAUAACAUAAUUAACCGUACAUUGGAUGAUUCAAAUUUUAUCAUUGCGCUAGCCGUAAUCUGAAAGCCGAUCCGGACCUAACGAGUUAACAUAAAUUCAGAAAACAUGCAGAGAUUAAUCGAGAAUUAAUUUUAACUAUUUUUUAAUUUUCAGAUAAAUAUAUAUUAUCACUAUAUAUACGGGUAAAAUGUCAAAGAUUAUCUGUGGUCUAGUGGAAUUCCUGGAUUAUUAUUUAAAAUAUGUCUCAGGUUCGAGCGCAGAAAUAUUCAGUUUUGGUCUUUUUUUUCUUUUACUUUUUCUUCAUUAAUGACAAAAUCAUAAUUAGUUUAUCUUCUUUUUUUAAGGUUCCUGUGAUAUGUCAAUGGCCGCAACACAAUUUUUUAACGUAAUCUAUUGAUUUUUUUACCGCUUUCUUAUUAUUUAUGCAGGCAUAUAUAUCACGUAACAGUCAAUUUCCAAUAACAAAAACUGAAUAAUUUCGACGAAUCCGGUUUUUUCACCGAGUAUCAUAGAAUCGUCACGAUGGAUCACCGCCGAAUGUAGCACUACCGUUUAAUCAGCCGUCUCGGCCGCGUUUUCAAACAUGCAUUUUAUAGACAAAUGGACACUAGAAUAUUAAAUGAGACGUGUUAAUAAAAAAAGUAAUAUGAAAAUAACUAUUCAAAUAUGUCGUUAAAUUUUGAAAGUAAAAACAUAUGUCAAAUACAUCAUAAAAUUAAAUUGCAAUUUAAAAAAAUAUAAAAUUGAAUCAUCAAAAUUGGCAGUGGUUUUACUCAUCUUUAACAUUUUAUGAAAAACCUCAAAAAGAAGAAAAACACAUUAAGUUAAACACAAAUAAAAAUUUAAAUAGUCAUGUCGACCAAAAGAAAUGAACAGUGCCUCAUGGGCUAAUAAAAGAUCAAAGGGGUCAAAAUAAAGUUGAAGCAUGAGCUAGCUAGGGUCAUAAAAAAGAAUUGCACCUACUCUUGUCUUUAAUCUCGAGAUGAAUGUUUUAUAUUCUACUGAAGUGGUCUGACUAUUUGACAGACUCACCAUCUCCUACGCUUAUAUCUAUUGGCUUAGGCUAUUCAAUACAGGUUACAUGCUGGUAUAAACAACAUAGUUAAAGAAAAUUAAACGCAACGUAUGUAUUAAAUUAAAACAUUUUUUUUUACUUCGAAUGCUAGGUCAUAGUAUCAUUUUAGGUUCAUAAUAUAUAUAGGAUUUUUAUCCUAAGAACAAGCGUGUGGCACGCGGCUAGUCUAUGCGUCUGCCAUGACGCCAUGAGUAAUUAGCAUAGAACAACACAGAGGCAGCCGCCGAACAAUAAUAAAAAAAUUCUUUCGUUUGUAGAUACAAUUAUUAGAGUAUGAUUAUCCCUAGCAUCCCUAAUGGAACUCUUCACUUUUUUAAUAAUAAAUGUGUGUUAAGAAGUUUAGUUAAGAAAUACUUUGAUUUUGUACUCCAAUGGGAAUUCUUAUUUAGAGGUUCUUAGGAAAAAAAACAUUGCUCAAACAUGUAUAUGCUUCAUGAAGAUUGGAUACAAGCAUGUAGAUGUUUAUAGAUAUGCAAUACACAGAGAGCAAUUGGCCUGCAAUUUGAAACCUGACUCAGAACAAUAGUGUUUUUUUGUUGUUAUACCACAAAGACUUCAACCUUUACGGCCUAUUUACAAGAAAAUCUAUACAAGAGGGGAAUGGAGAGAAGUAGAAACAACAAACAAGGAAAUGGAACAGAUAUAAACUUACAAUCAUGUAGAAAGGAGAUGCAGCCAAGGCAAGAGGAAUGGCAACGGAGGUGACCUUGUCCAUUGGUCCUUUCAAGUAAGUGUGCCUCUGGAUUCUCUGGAACAACCUCUGCUUCUCUCUUGGCCUAAAUGGUGGGCACCAAAUUCAUCUUUCCCUGAAAUUGUAACAACCAAACAAUUAAAUACAUGCGUACAUUAUAGAGGAAGUUGCCAUUAUCAAAUAUUCUUUCAUCAAACUUCAGAUUUAAAAAUUAAAAUGUCAACUAACACAGGUGGAUUGCAGUUGAUUGAGAGAGAAGAACCCCAAAGAGGUUUCAGCUCCAUCAACACAGAGCUAACUGUAGCACUCGUCUUUGUUCUAUGAAGUAUCAAUGUCUUCUUCCCAUUCUCAACCUGCACAACCAGAGAGAUGAGCAACCUCUGCGAUUUCAGAGAUUGGGGCGAGUGGGAAUAGAAAUUGAGACAGCACACAGACGUGUUUGAUAUCUUCUCAAUUUGCAUUGUUUUAACCAUUCAUUUUUGCACAUGUUGAUCAUUUAGGAUAGCAUUUAGAUAUGUUUAGGUUGCAUUGCAUUACAUAUUUCCUUAUCAGGUGAUGGAGAUUUUACAUGGUGACUUUGGAGUAUCUAGAGAUGAUUUGGAGGCAAAAUUGGUGAUUCUCGGAGAAGAGACGCAGAGGUCAACUGUCCCAGCGGCCUUGUGACGUCCCAGCGGCCUUUAGCCCCUCAAAAAGCCGCUGCAAGCGUUGAGAAACGGAGACCAAGUGUGGGAGCGGCCUAACGCAGCGGUUAACCGAAGCCGCUAUGAAAAUACCUCAUCCCCAGUAGCGUUCGUACUUGUCGCAGCGGUGUACUGAAGCCGCUGGAGACGCACGAGAGAUGAAGACUCAAGAAAUGGAGACCAAGUGCGGGAGCGGCCUGACGCAGCGGUGUGACGAGACCGCUGGGAAAAUACCCCGUUCCCUGCCGCGUUCGUACUUAUCGCAGCGGUGUGAUGACGAAGCAAGGAAGCCGCUGCGAGUGUCCCAGCGGCUAGGCGGAGCGGUUUCACGUGGCCGCUGCGAGUCAAGAAAGUCAACAUUUUCCGUGUUUGACCAGAUAAUUACCAAUUUGUGUUUUGGUUAACCCAUGUUUGUUGGGUUAAACCAGGUUCGACUUUAAGCUACUGUAAAGGUCCUUCAGACCUAAUUGUAGGAUCUUAUCUUGUUUUCUAUCUAAUCACAAAAGAACUUUUAGGUGAAAGAUCCUAUCUUGAUCAUUUCUCUCUUGUGAUUGCUUGAUUAUCUUGAUCACUAAUCAUGAUUAGCACCAAAUCAUCUUUGAUUCUUGGGCUCAUCAUGGAAAGUAGUGAGUAGUCAUCUUUGGAUUCAUGGGUUAGGGAGAUUAAGGGUGAUUAAUCUAGAUCUAAGGUGUUUAGGUAUAGAUCCAUCUUAUUCCUUGCUAGUAGAGGGCUUUUAAUGCAACUUUAGAGUUGGCCUCUCUAAAGUUGAGCUCUAGGCAUUUCAUACCCGGAAGGUGUUUGAUGAAAUGCCUGAACCAACUAUCCUAAGCUUUUAACAUCUUUUACCAAAGGGAUUUGUUGUUAAAGGUGUUAAGAUGGCUAGUAGACUUGAGAUUAAUGAUUACUUAGAUAACAUUCAACCAAAGGGAUUUGAUGCUUGAGUUAUCUAGGUAAAUGAGCAUUCAUCUAGGGAUAGAGUUUGCUUAGGAUUGUGUCUAGGCCUAAGGUAGAUAUAGAUUGGUUCAAAGUUGACACCUUUAGGUUGAAUCUUGAUCACCCAAGAUCAAUUCCCAUAGCCCAUGAGUUCUCCCUUCUUAUAAGAAAGAAAGCUUUGUCCUUUAUUGCAUUUUAGGUAGUAAUCUAGUUUAAAAACAUCUCAAAAACUGGUAGCACUUAUAUUAAGCAUGGUCUUGCAUUCCCUUUGCUUUAAAAUCACUUAGAACUGGUUUAACAUCCUUUAUACUACAACAUUUGAUUAGGAGCCUUGAAACUCCUAUCAUCAAAUUGGCGCCGUUGCCAGGCGUGACAGGCGUGAGAGGCGCAGGUACCGUUUAUCUUUUAAAGAUCUUAUUAAUUACUUGACCAAAAAAAAAAGAUCUUAUUAAUUACAAAAUGACUUUGAUUAGUUGUAAGAGAAAAGAGACUUUUAGAGAAUUGAAUUAAUGAAAAAUAGUACUACAAUACAAACAUGAAGGGGCUUCAUUAGUUAACUCAAGUUGUUUGUCGUGAUCAGUGAUAUAUUCAACUACUAUUAUAUCUACUAGAAAUUUUUUCUGCGCUUCACGCGGAUUGUGUCUUAUAAAUUUAUUUUAUUUAUAAUAUUAUUUUUCGGUUUUUUCUUUUACAUUAACUUCUUGUUUUUCCAAUGUUAGUUUUUCUUAAUUUACAUUUAUAUGUUUAUAAUUUUUCACCUUGUUGUAGAUGGAGAAUUAUAUUUUUUAUUGAUGAUUUUUUGUAUGUGACAUAAAAAUUUUGAAAUUUUAAAAUAAUGUUAUAUAUAGUACGAUUAACACAUUAAAGAAGAGAAACAUAUUCACGCACAUUUUACACAGAUUUUAUAAGCAUAAUUUUAAACAUUAUAUAUGUUUAUAUUAUAAGUUUGAAACAUGUAAAUGCUUUCUAAAGCUCAAUACUUGUUCUGAGUUUACAUAACUUAUCAAAAGUUUUAUCUCUUUUUAAAUUCAAAUCA